rnacentral:lncRNA from 1 species
AUUAUUAGUUUCAAGUGUCACAAGCUAGCUGUGUCCCAAACUGAAGCUUUUCCCCUGUUAACCUGGGGCCUGUUCUUCGUACGUCGCUAACUCAUUUAGCUGGAUUUGAUUGUUGAUGAUUUGGCGUGAUCUUGGAUCGUUUGGUUCUUCGAAGCUCAUCCCGGAGCUGCUGUCAUAGCAACAGGUCCGUCAGCUGAGGUUUAUUUCAUGUAAACAAAAACACUUGACUUGCAUCUGCAGCAAAAAGAAAUGCACAUACUGUAGCUCAAAGCUGUCUUAUGUUUGUUCUACUGGAAAACUCUUUCACUUAACAUCCUGGAGCUGGUCUAAGAGCAAGCAUCCACAGUUUCUGCUGCACCAGAGAACUUAAAUGAAAAGGAAGACCAGACUUGCACUGAGGUGAAGACUGAGAUUGAAACUUGGACUAUUAAAACAAACGCCGGAACAGAAGAUAUCAGACACAGCCCAGCAGAAAAUGCUGAAGGUGAGGCCUCUGCUGAGUCAGAACACCAGACAGCUGGUCCGGAGGUGAUCUAUGAUGAUGUACCCUGUGAUGAUCUGUCUUCCGGAGAAGCUGACUUGAUCUAUGAAGACUUUCAGAAAGAGGAGGGCUUGCAAGGGCUCAAUAAUGGCUCGAGCUCAAGUGAGUUCGAAAGCUAUGACGAUGAGCAGUCCGUUUCUGAGAGGUCUCCAAGUCUCCAAGCCGCAGCAAGGUGCGUGUGUGUGUGUGUGUGUGUGUGUGUGUUAAUUCAAGACUCCCCACGACUGCAAUAA